CGAAGGGUGCGAGCGUUGUUCGGAAUUACUGGGCGUAAAGGGUUUGUAGGCUGAAAUGUAAGUCAAGUGUGAAAUCCCCGAGCUAAACUUGGGACGUGCAUUUGAAACUGUGUUUCUUGAGUAUCGUAGAGGGUGGUGGAAUUGCAGGUGUAGGAGUGACAUCCGUAGAGAUCUGCAGGAACAUCGGAGGCGAAGGCGACCACCUGGCCGAUUACUGACGCUGAGGAACGAAAGCGUGGGGAGCAAACAGGAUUAGAUACCCUGGUAGUCCACGCCGUAAACGAUGAUAACUAGGUGUUGGGAGAAUUGACCCUUUCAGUACCGUAGCACACGCGCUAAGUUAUCCGCCUGGGGAGUACGGCCGCAAGGCUA
rnacentral:rRNA from 1 species